rnacentral:lncRNA from 1 species
GGAUACGACUUUACCAUUUUUCAGCGUCGCUGCAAUCGAUUUUCACAAAUUUACACAAUUCAAAUAACCAUCUUGUAAAAAAAAAUAAUAAUAAUAAUAAAAUAAACAUGUGCAUUCAUACAAAAGAGUUCAAAUCUAAUCAAAUAAAGCAGAAAUUGAAGGCGAAUUCUGAUACCGGAAACUCUAUACUCCUAGGAGGAGAGUCUGACACGGAAAGGCAGUAAACUGAAAAUGAAAGGGAGUCCGAGGGAUUAUAUGGGGAAAUGGACCGCUAGAGUGUCGUGCAUGGCGGACUGUAUAGUUAGAAACUUUAUGGGUGGCGAGGGAAAAUGGGAAAAUGAGAUUAUAGCCGGUAAUAUUGGACAAUUUGUUCCGAGAACAAAAUCAUAUUUUGACAUUUUCUUUCGCGACUUACGGGAUCAAGUUUCUUCUUGAUUUUAUGAAAUUAAAAAAUGAUCUCAUCUCAU